CUUGAUGAUCAUAGAGGCAUUGAACCACCUGAUCCCAUCCCGAACUCAGAAGUGAAAAGUGCCAUCGCCGAUGGUAGUGUGGGAGAUCCCAUGUGAGAGUAGGUCGUUAUCAAGA
rfam:Marinomonas spartinae strain CECT 8886 genome assembly, contig: 0016